ACAAUUCAUUUUAUUUCUUACUUACAGUCGUCGUACUAACAUUUCUAAAAUUCAAAAAGUUAUGAAUAUUCAAAAUUUUCGAAAAGUUUGGAAAAACCAUUGCUUUAAACAUGGGUGAAUAUCAUAUUAUGUGCAGCAGCGUCAAUUACACGAAACGAAACAUCAAUUAGUAGUACAUGCUAAUUAACACAGAAACUAUACCAUACCUGAUAUAUUUUUAUAACGAAAAAGGAAACAGGAUGGUGAGAAGAAACAAUUUUUAUCUUUUGCUUAAGAUAAUUCUUGCCCCAACUAUAUAUACUUAUGAUCAUAUAUUCGCAAGAAUAUGCUCGUAACGAACCAAACAGACAAGCGUUCUUAUAAGCGGUCUUCUUCUUCUAUAUAUAAAGUGCAAAUCUGUUGAACGAAGCUGACGGUACCGGCCCCACCGCUUGAGUCACGACUUUAGCGAUGAGGGUAUAGAGGGUUGCGAUUAGCCAAGAAUAAAUAUACAAUUAAUGAAACUUUUGGAGUUGCACAAAUUCACUGAAGAAAGAAAUCUUGGAAGCCAUCUACUCCCCACUACAAUGAACUUCUUCUUGGCCACAUGGUAGAGGUUCUCCUGUCGACAAACACUCUGAGCUCUAUUCCAAGUUGGGAGUACGAUAUGGCUCUUGUGCUCAUCAUUGCUCAGUCUAAAUACGAAAUGAGUCAAACAAUAAAGCACAGCGAUUUCCAAUA